AAAGAAUUAAAUAGAUGAAAUAUGAAGUUUUAUUAAAAGAAAAAGGGGUGAAAAGAACAAAGUUUUGUCCAUCUUUGUUCAUCAUAGCUGAAAGUUAGAGAAGAGAAAGGAGAGGAGAAAGCUCUUGAGUAUUCGGUCAUUAGGAGGAGGAAAAUUGAAGGAAAUCCCCAACCAUAGUAGGCUUGGAGCUGUGAGGGAAUUCGGAGUGGCCACCCGUUCUGAAAGUUUGGUUUUCUUCUGGUGAACUGGACAUCGUAUUAUUUACGUUGAGGUUUGGGUUUUUAAAUGUAAUAAGGCCGCUUAAUUAUUUUUGAUGGUUUUAAUAUGUAUUACUAAGAUAGGUAAUACUUAUUUUAACUGUUGAAGUUGGAUAGCUUUAGGGUGCGUUUUAAAAAAUAACAGUUGAUUUCAAAAUAACACGACAACAAGCAAAGCUUCCGUAAUGAAAGUAUUUUCCAAAA